GCCUACUAUUGAGCUAGAGGAGAUUUUAUUAAUUAGAUUCUUUGGCGAGCUUAGUUUAAUUCUGUCUGUCCGCUGAGCCCAUCGCGUCAGCCCAAUCAUGCAGUCAGGCCCACGUCAACGAGUCCACAUUUCCGGCCUAACGUGGAUCCGACCCAGCUCCAGUCCCGAAAGUCAAUAACCCUUUAGGGUUAUUAUUUCAUCUCCCUCACAGCCGCUGCCGUCACUAUCUUCUCUCGAACGCCCCAUCUUAUCUCGACUCUUCCCUUUCUUGCUACUUAGCAGUCGUCGUCUCUCCUCACCUCCGAUCGAUGACUCUGAUCAACUAUGGCUUCCACAUUUGAUGAAUCUCAGGCCAAAAGAGAGGUAAACUCUCGAUUUAUCCCUUUCAUUUUUACGAUUUCUAACCUUAAUUGAUUCUAAUCCUCAUCGUAUCAUCUUCUAUGAUGGGAGGUCGGCGAAGGGACUGGCUCGAUCUUCUUCUGGCUGAAAUGAUCAUAGAUCGGUAAAGUCUCGUUCCCUCUCGAUCUGUGUUUUUUUCUUACAUUCUAUUCGAAUCUAAAAGUCGUCUCCGAUCUUUCGAAUCGCAGUGGUGGGAACUAAGUGAGCACUAAAUGAGCAGGUAUGACCCUAACUUGUUGAGUCUGUGAACCCUUGUUUUUUUCGUCAGUUGUUUUUUGUUGUAGUAUUGGUUUGACCGACUCUUUGACUGCUCAAUACAAGCUAAUCCAUCUUAAAUCAUUCAUACUUAAAUCGAUUGUUUCACUUUAGACUUUAUCAAUUCUUUGACUCUGCUUAUUGUUGGUUGACCGAUCCUAGCCUAUACAACGAAUCGAUUGUUGUUUAUACUAUCAACCAAAACCAGUGUAAUCUAUCUUCAGUUAGAAUCACCCCUUGUAACUCACAUUUUCGUGCCCGGAAUCACUACUAAUCUAACCUAGUCCAACACUUUAGUCAUGAUAAGUUUAAUGAUGAUGAUAUGUCAUGUAAACAGGAUUAGUGGAAUAAGUAUUUUAAAUGUUUGCUUGAUUAUGUACCUUUCAACCUUGUUAUGAUUACGGAUUUCCUUGAUUAAUGAUUCUAAUUGUUGAAGCUUCUUCUUGCGAGGUGGUUUGAUGAUGCUUACUGCAAGGGCUCGAUAGUACUGAUAAUGGUGAGCUGGAGUAUGGUUUUAUGCGAGGUUGAGUGUAGUUCAAUGUGAAACUUAGGGCGGUGAGUGUGAUAUGAGAGUAAUUUCGGAUUAAUGAUCACACCGUUUUGUGUUUUCUUUUCGCUUGAUUUUUCUGAUUUCAGAGCUUUUUUGUGUUCUAGUUACUCUGGAAUUUUCCUCAGCAUUUCGCCCUUUAUCUGUAGCCAAAAAUUGGUGUAAUAGUGAGUUUCCUAAAAUGUCCCCCACAGGUCUAUCAUAUCCCUAGUAAGCCAGAUGAGCCUGCCAUACGUGGGCCUCAUCUUCUCUGGAAACUGAAUCAAUUCGGUUAUCGUUUUAUAUCAUAGUUCACCUACAUUUGGUUCGGUAAAAUCCUAAAUACUUUUUAUAUUUUUCGAAAUAAACUUGGGGAUUUCGAUAGAAUUUGACACAUCAAUGAACAUUCGUAUCUCGAAAGAAUCGGAUUUUAAAAGGCGAAAAUAACCCUUCAGUCGAUCUAAAAUCUGACCUAUCUGCCUUUACUAAUUUACCUGGCCAAUCUGAUUUUGAACUAAUUCGAGAUUGACCAGUUGGCCUAACCAUCACUGUUGACUCAACCGAUUACGUUUUGAAUUGAACCGAGUUUAACUAGUCAGCCAGCCUAAAAAAUGCUCAGGGGCAAA
rnacentral:lncRNA from 1 species